AGCAUUAGGGAAAGUCAGGGCAAUUGGACACGCAGUUGAAGCAACGAUUAUGGUGAAGGCGGUACUCUUGUCAUGGUUGAUCCUUAUUUUGAAAGUGAAUGCUUCUUUAUCACAGGACGCCACUAGUAUUUCAUAACGAACAAGACAAAAAAGCAGACUUGAGCAACUCCUCCGGCUCAGAAGAAAUUUACUGUAACAUGCGAAACCACCGGUGCCCCUAGCGGAGCUUUUGAAAAACAGUACUCCAAAAGAUGUCGACUUUUUUAAGACAAAAGCUGGUGUCGAGGCGAAAUCAGGAUACAUUACGGUUCAACCAGGAAGUCACCUGUUUUUUC